rnacentral:rRNA from 1 species
GUGCCAGCCGCCGCGGUAAUACGAAGGGUGCAAGCGUUAAUCGGAAUUACUGGGCGUAAAGCGCGCGUAGGUGGUUUGGUAAGUUGGAUGUGAAAGCCCCGGGCUCAACCUGGGAACUGCAUCCAAAACUGCCUGACUAGAGUACGGUAGAGGGUGGUGGAAUUUCCUGUGUAGCGGUGAAAUGCGUAGAUAUAGGAAGGAACACCAGUGGCGAAGGCGACCACCUGGACUGAUACUGACACUGAGGUGCGAAAGCGUGGGGAGCAAACAGGAUUAGAAACCCCAGUAGUCC